rnacentral:rRNA from 1 species
ACGGAGGGUGCAAGCGUUAUCCGGAUUUAUUGGGUUUAAAGGGUGCGUAGGCGGCCUUUUAAGUCAGUGGUGAAAACCUGCGGCUCAACCGUAGGCGUGCCAUUGAAACUGAAGGGCUUGAGUUAUCAUGAGGCAGGCGGAAUGUGUAGUGUAGCGGUGAAAUGCUUAGAUAUUACACAGAACACCGAUUGCGUAGGCAGCUUGCUAAAGGUACACUGACGCUGAUGCACGAAAGCGUGGGGAUCGAACAG